rnacentral:lncRNA from 10 species
GUGCUUGCAGGCUUUGAAGAACAAGCUGCCAUGAAUCCUGCAGCUACAAGGAAAUGAACUCUAUUAACUUGAGUGAGCUUAAAACUAGAUCCUUCCCCAGUCAAGCCUCCAGGUGAGAAUUCAAUCCUGGCUGGCACCUGGAUUGCAGCUUACAGAAGACCCAGCUAAGGCCAUGUCUGGACUUUAAAUCCACAGGAACUGCAAGAGAACUGUUUGAUACACGCAACCAGGACUGUAUGAGAGGCUGGAAACGUAUCUAUCAGUACUACUUAUCUGUAGUAAAGACUUUUUUAAGCUCAUUUAUGAUUGCACAACCUAAAUAACCAUACAUGGCUGGGCCUGGGAAAGGCAGAAAGGCAGAUGGAUGGUAUCAGAAGUGGGACCUGCAGUGGGGCAUCUAGCAACCCCCAGGAGCAUUGAGUGACCAGGCUUGGGACCCACCGGGCGCAGGGUGUCCAUUGUUCUCUCGAAGCAACUGAGAAUUGUGGAUAUUCUUCAUUAUUCCAUCAUCAUCUCAAACCUCUUGGGUAUAGUG